GAGAACUUCUAAGAUAUAGUCUCUUAGCAACUUUCAAAUAUACAAUACACUGUUGUUAACUAGAGUCUCAAAAGACGUCUCUCUUUAGAUGCAAAAUGAAGUCUCCUGCAGACUUGUGUUGUUUGAGACAGUGUUUCCAAAAGAAUGGCAGGCAGUUCAAAAAUGCAUUUAAAGAAUCGCAGACUGUCCGUGAGAUAAAGGUGCUGUCCUCUGAGAUUCCACAGUUAAGUGGAAUUAAAUGGGAAAUUUUUGCCUCCUAAUGGAGCACAGUGACACAUGGCCCUGAUGGGUACGACAUCAUUUCUGCUAUACUCUCUUGGUGGAAGGAGUCGAGAGCCCACCUGGAUUCAAAGGACUGGGACAGAGACCCCACCUCUCGAUGGGAGGAGUGUCGAGUGUUUGCAGCAGCUGCUGGAACCACCCUGACUGCGGCAGGGCAAAGAACGGGGUGGUGCCCCCCUGGACGCAGCCGCUGUGCUCCCUGCAGAGGCACCUCGCCACCGCCAAGAGCGACAAUCCCCUGCAAACUGCACCGCCAGCAAACUGCACCGCAGGCCUGCGUCGGGGGGCUCACGGCAGCCUGGUUCACAGACUCUCGGGAGAAAAAUUCCGACGUACAGGACCUGUUACCCAGCCGUGCAUCUCCUCACCUGCAGCAGGCAGGCUCUUGAGGAAUGAGACCUGGGAACUUCCGGAGGAGGCUGUGAAUGUGGCUGGAGGGUGUGAAGCUGUUCUGACUUUCACAGCGGAGUCUGUCCCACAAGAUGAGUCAGCGGGUGUCCAAAGCAAAGUUGCCCCUCCAACAUUCUGCGAGCCUGGGGCACCGAGCUGUCCGGGGGUCCUGAGCACCGGCCCUCGUCAGCAAGGCGGCCCUGUCUCUGCGGCGAGCACUGCGGCCUGCAGCGGCCAGGUGAAGACACGGAGGCCCCAAGAGGUGACACUACUUAGCAAAGGUCACCCAGCCACCCACCAGCACAUCUGGAUCUCAGACGCAGCGUUCUGGACUCUGGGUUCAGAACCUUUGAAGAAUAUGGUACAGUUAUGCUCACUGAUGGCUUGCCCAUGUCGCUUUUCCCGUGUGCUGUCAUGUAACAAAUUGACUUCAAAGAAUGCCUUCUAUGAAACAUUAGAAAUGAAGCAUGUUCUGUCAUCAGCUGAAAGCAUACGAUGUUCACAAGAACUGUGCUCGAUCGGAGAAUAUUUGGCUCUUGCAAGGUGUCCCCUUGUCCAGGAAGUCUUUCCCUGCAGCGCUGACAUCCAGCCUCGGUUUGACCUGAAGGUAAAGCUGGAGGGCGAGGGCAUACACAGGGUCUCACAAGUAUCUGAGGUCAUCAGUCGCUAAGUAUACCCACACUCUGCAUGAGGAGCUCAGCUCCAAGCAGGAGCUGAGCCAAUCUUUGCCUAACUGAUGAAUUACAACAGAAAAUUGCACUGCAGAGGACAGAACUGAGUUUGGCAAUUGAAAUCAUUCCCUAACUCGUGUUGCCCUUCCGACACCCUCUCACCUCCGCCUGAGGCUUCCCGAGUGACGGACGGACACUCCUAGUGAAAGAUUGAAGAUUGAGAGGAAGCGUUUUUAAAGAAAAAAAUAAUAUUUUUGGAGAUUUUCUUAAAUUGUUUAGAGGGAAAAAUAUGCCUGACAUUGGAAAAAUGAGUUCAAAGCCUGCGGUUUUACAGAGGUGGUUGUGUCCUUUUCUCCUUCUGUUCAACUCCUAAGGCCCACCAUCAAUGAAGUCUUCCCUGAGAUCAUGAGAUCAGCAAGAUAAGAGAAUCUAAGACCCAGGAGUGACGUUAUUAAGGAGGAAAUGCCAUCCACUCGUCUUGAUGCUCAGAUGCUGAUGGUCUCUCUGCAGCCUUCCUGCGAUGCCCGAGUUUUCCUUCUGUCCUAGCAAUCUUAGCAGUGUCACCUCUGCUCGUUGACCCCAAACUAAACACAUGAAGAGGGCCUCGUCCACUUCUCUGUGCCUCAGAAUGCUGGGUCUUCCUCCUGCGGGGGCGCCGGCUGAUCCGUCCGUCUUGGGGACCGUCCCUGUGAAAGUCUCGUUGGUUCUUUCCAAGAACUCAUCAAGAGGGAAAACUUACAGUGGUACCAACGUGUAUUGUAACACAAUGCGAGGAAGGUUGACUCAAAGGGGCAUUUUCUAAUAGAAUUUCAGGCAAAAGAACGUGGUUAAAUGGAAAAACAUAGCUUUUAAAAGAAAAUGCUGUUAUGACUAUUGCUUUUUUAAAAAUCUGUAAAAUAAUAUUGUACAAAAAAUUGCUUCCUUUCCCAGUACGUGAACAGUCCCCAUGGAUAACAAAGUCACAUUUCCAAUCAUCCAACUCAUUCACUCAUUGCAAAGGCUCGAUGGCACACCUCUUAGGUUCUAGGCCGUGUGCUGGCCAUGCGAAGGUGAAAGAGACACUGUCCCUCGUAGUCUGUGACAUCUGGGACAAACCAGGAGAGUGGGAGGGGAUCUGGGAAGUCAUACAGCCUAGAGUUGCAUGUAAGACAGGGUCACAUCUAUGACAACUUGGGCGAGUGGCCACUUCUGCUCCCGCCCCUCCCGUGACGGGCACUGCCUGCUUGGGGACGAGUCGCUGUGUUUGCUCAUAUUGCUCCCAAAUUUGUCUUCUUUUAUUUCUGCUUCAUAGUUCUUCUGGUUCUUUCUCUUGGAGCUACACAGAAGGCGCCUGGGAAUUUUGGAGAAAGUCCGUGUGACUCUCGGUUCCCCCGUGUCCUCUUCCCAGUUUCCUGCCGCCAUCCUCGUUGGCUGGGAAUACUCUGCACAAUGGAAGUAACUGGAUUUUGGAGUCAGACUUGGGGCUGGGCCACGUUCUAGCUGCAAGAGCUUGGACACACAUUUGUUAGCAUUUUGAGUGAUAAUAAGCCCGUAUUUUCUCACUUGUAGAACAGACACAAAAAUCCCAUCUCAUAAGAUUGUUCUGAAAAUAAACCGAGGAAAUCUGUGUGAUACGCCAGCACAGACUCCACACGUCCUUGGGCAUAAUAAACACUUGUCGUCAAGUGACCGGGUGAACGCAGGGUUUCACUGCUCUCCUCUCAUUGUUCCGCCCUGGACCCAUCCGGCUGCUCAUCGGCUCCUUUAAAAUAAGGCGUUCAGAUCUGAGCGUGGAUGUCAAUCUAGGGAAAGGAGUAGUGGCUUUAUUUCUUGGGUUUAUCUGAACUUUUACUUAUGGAAGCUGAUCGUAUGUAUUUUAAGCAACCUUCCAUUAUGCAAUGUGUUUUACAAUACGUAGGUUCCUUGAAUUUGUCGUUCAGCUAAGAACCUCAGAUUUUGUUUGUGGUAAAACUAGGUUUCUUGACCCCAGUGGGUGGAAUUGACUUAUCAAGCCCGAGAGCAGGAUUUUCACAUCCCUUCUGGUUGAGUUGCAGGCAAGUCCUCGGGCGCCCGUCUCAGAUUUUGAGCUGGAGCGGAAUCUGGACUCACCGUGGGUUUUAUUGCUGUCUCCCCUAACUUGGGUUGGAUCAGCGUUUGAGGACUGCAAAGCAAGCAUCCCACACUUCUCCUUAAAUGUGCUCCCCAUUGAAGAAUGUGACCUUCCAGCUUGGAGGAGGAAUUUCCUUCCGUCAAGGGCAUGCCUUCUGUAUCUUCAUCUGGUCAAUUCACAAAAACACCAAGGUGGAACAUGGACUAAUGCAAAAUCUGGCCAUAUACCACUUUUCUCCAGAAGGGUUCAAAUCCAGGUCCCCUUUGGAGUGUAUUUACUGUUCAACCAACCAGGAAUCCAUCUAAUAACUCUAUUGUCCAUCAGGUCCUACAUCACCAUUGUGAAGGAACCUCACAAAUGUGCCACACAUCAAGAUGCAAGGUGUAAACAAUAAUGAUGGCAGUGAACAUGUACCAAGAGCAUUGUGUUAAGGGAUGUCACUAAAUUAUCAAGUGGAGGCUAUACAUUGACUACAGGCGGGGAAAUAAACACUUAGAGAAUUUCAGAAACUUUGCCCACAUCAGACUAGGAAGCGGAGGAGCCGGGUUUGAAGGCAGGCAGGCCAGCCCGAGCGCCCACAGUUGUCACAACUACUUACUCCUUGAUUGUUUUCAAUAUCACCAGUUAUAUGUUUUAAUAAUAAUUCUCUACCUUUUCAUAGACAGUGGUCAAAUUUUUUCUGUAGAAUUUUAAGUAAUGGAUAGAUGAUAGCUUUGGGGAAUGGUGUGGGAAUAUUCUUGCUAAGGACAGAGGUACAGAUUUUUUUUAUUCCAGUUCAAGUUUGCUCUUUUGGUUUUCUUCCAUCCGGCUGCAGUUAACACUUUCAUGUACAAUAUUAUCACCAAGUAUGACGCAUUCCUUUUUAAAAUUAAAGAGCAAACAAGUAAAAAAAUUGAUAUCGUUAACUGCUUUCCUGGAGGCGGUAUACCUUCAGCCUUGUCUCCUGUGUUUCCCAAUAGUCCCCGAGGCGGG
rnacentral:lncRNA from 1 species